rnacentral:sRNA from 1 species
UGUCCGAAGAAUUCCAGCACCCUACGAA